UUUCCGUAGGUGAACCUGCGGAAGGAUCAUUAUCGUACAAAAAGUGAGGGGCAUGCGAGGGCUGUCCCUCACCCACAAGUCGGGCACGCCCGAGUGUGUCCUCUUGACUAAUAAUCCAUUUCACCCUUCGUGCAUCACCGCGUGGGCACCCUUCGGGAUCAUCACGGAGGGGGGCUCCCGUUUUCACACAAACCGCUCUUUUGAAAGUGUAGAAUGACAAGAUUGAUGCAAACAAGACAACUUACAACAACGGAUCUCUUCGCUCACGCAUCGAUCGUA
rnacentral:misc_RNA from 1 species